GGCCAACAGAUGGACCAGAGAUCUUCUCAGAGGAAUGGUGGGAACAUAAUGGCUUCUUUAACAUUGUGCUCCGUAUAGAGAUACAGUGGAGAAAGGAUAUGGAGAGACUGGGAAAGAGACCCAAAGUGACUGACGAGCAAAGAAGGGCUGCAGCAAAAGCCUGGCUCAAUUGCUACUGGUACCGUGAACGGCGAGGCUAGGAUGUCCGUGGGAUGAACAGAGUAACAUUGCUCAUUCGGUGGGACACUCGCAAUGGGCAUCACCAGCCUUUUUUUUUUUUAAUGUUUGGGGCGGGGAAUUUGGAUUGUAGAAAAGCCACUGUUAAUGGAGGUUUGCAAGAAAUGUGAAA